AAUAAAUGCAAUAUCACAGAUUUCUAAGGCACUGAAUUUCGCUACGUGAUCCACGUACGUUUGCUUAAACCUUCGGACGACUUCAGAUACUAUGCCGAAAAACAAACAACAGUGAAGUACGCAUCAAAGGACACAUUAUCUCCCCCCCCUUCCUCUUUCGAAUUUAGACGUUAUAAAUUUCAUAUUGUGUCUUAUGUAUCGUACGUUAAAGUGGAACGCUAAAAUCGAAUUAGAAAACCUUGUAUUAUGAAAUGUGUACCGUGGAUCGAAUACUCAACUACAUCUUACAGAAUUCGGUGAAUUAAAAGAAUAAUAAGGAUCGUCAGGAAAAUACCAUUCGUUGGAGUUUAUGUACAAGUGCUCGGAUAUAAUCUUCCUCAUAUCGUCGCAUCUUCGAUUCUGCAUUAUAAUUUUCGACGUGAUUCUGUAAAAAUGAUGAUAAAUAAUCCAUUGAUAAUCGAUAAUCGACAUUAACCAGGUAAUAAUGAUCAUUAUUUCUCUGUAUAUUUUCUAUAUAUGAAAAGAAUUUACUUUAACGGUUCGUCUAUUUUUAUUUUACGCCUUUUUACAUUAAUAAAAAACAGACGAAUACAUACUUUUUUUAUUUUAUCCAAAUUUAUUUUUUAAUUUUACUUAAGCGAAUAUACAAGAGAUCAUUUAGGACGAUUUAUAAAUAUCUUUCUGUUUUCUAAGAAAAAGUUGUCUAAACUUAAUUUUUUUUUCAAUCUUUAAUAUUUCCUUGGCGUUUCGUGUGUUUGCGUUAUAUUUAUUACGAUGAAAAACGAUAUCUAUAUAUUUUGAAAUCAUGGUUGCCUAAUUUAGAAAAUAAGAUAUAUACACUUUUCGCGACUCUUUCUUGAUCAGGAUCGUAUAUUUGGAGUGCGAAUCGAAGCUUCACAUUCUCACGCUUAACAUCUAUAUAAACAACAAUAAAGAAUUUAUAUUAUAACGGUGUCCCGUAAGGACAACGGAAAUUUUAAUGCUAAUAAACCUCUGCACCUUGCUCUAAGGUAAUGAUCAAGUGUUGUAAGAUAUAUAUAUUUAAGAAAAUUUUUUCACAGCUGUAUUAAACAUUCAUUUCUUUGAUAUUUUCUCGAAUUUGAUACAGAAUA